UACGGGGGGGGCAAGCGUUGUCCGGAAUUAUUGGGCGUAAAGGGCUCGUAGGCGGUCUGUUGCGUCAGGAGUGAAAACUCGGGGCUUAACCCCGAGCCUGCUUCUGAUACGGGCAGACUAGAGGUAUGCAGGGGAGAACGGAAUUCCUGGUGUAGCGGUGAAAUGCGCAGAUAUCAGGAGGAACACCGGUGGCGAAGGCGGUUCUCUGGGCAUUAACUGACGCUGAGGAGCGAAAGCAUGGGGAGCGAACAGG
rnacentral:rRNA from 1 species